rnacentral:rRNA from 1 species
UACAGAGGUGGCAAGCGUUGUUCGGAUUUAUUGGGCGUAAAGGGUCCGUAGGCGGUUUGAAUAGUCAGAUGUGAAAGCCCACAGCUCAACUGUGGAACUGCAUUUGAAACUUUCAGACUAGAGUGUGAGGGGGGUAAAGGGAAUUCCCGGUGUAGAGGUGAAAUUCGUAGAUAUCGGGAGGAACACCAGUGGCGAAGGCGGCGACCUGGACGGACAUUGACGCUGAGACGCGAAAGCGUGGGGAGCAAACAGG